rnacentral:rRNA from 1 species
UACAGAGGUCCCAAGCGUUGUUCGGAAUUAUUGGGCGUAAAGGGUGCGUAGGCGGUCUGACAAGUCUGAUGUGAAAUCUAUGGGCUCAACCCAUAGUCUGCAUCGGAAACUGUCGGGCUUGAGUAUGGGAGAGGUGAGUGGAAUUUCCGGUGUAGCGGUGAAAUGCGUAGAUAUCGGAAGGAACACCUGUGGCGAAAGCGGCUCACUGGACCAUUACUGACGCUGAGGCACAAAAGCUAGGGGAGCAAACAGG